rnacentral:rRNA from 1 species
AUUGAACGCUGGCGGCAGGCCUAACACAUGCAAGUCGAACGGUAACAGGAAACAGCUUGCUGUUUCGCUGACGAGUGGCGGACGGGUGAGUAAUGUCUGGGAAACUGCCUGAUGGAGGGGGAUAACUACUGGAAACGGUAGCUAAUACCGCAUAACGUCGCAAGACCAAAGAGGGGGACCUUCGGGCCUCUUGCCAUCGGAUGUGCCCAGAUGGGAUUAGCUAGUAGGUGGGGUAACGGCUCACCUAGGCGACGAUCCCUAGCUGGUCUGAGAGGAUGACCAGCCACACUGGAACUGAGACACGGUCCAGACUCCUACGGGAGGCAGCAGUGGGGAAUAUUGCACAAUGGGCGCAAGCCUGAUGCAGCCAUGCCGCGUGUAUGAAGAAGGCCUUCGGGUUGUAAAGUACUUUCAGCGAGGAUGAAGGGAGUAAAGUUAAUACCUUUGCUCAUUGACGUUACCCGCAGAAGAAGCACCGGCUAACUCCGUG